GUCUCUUCCUUCCUAGGCCUACCUCUGUUGGUGCUUUUGUCUUCCAACCUCCCUAUGUAGUAAGACCAGCCAAGCCCACAUGCCCACUGGGAGCCCUGAAACCAGAUCUGGUUUUCUGUCUUACCUGAACAGGUUCCCAGAACCCACACCAGGCCUCUGAAUCAGUCUCUGAGAAUCUGAUUGAUUUAAAGCCACUUGGUUGCUUCCAUUGCACUACCUGGGUUGCGAUCCCCUCAAUUGAUUUAGUAAAAAGAAAACUUAGCGGCCGGGUGCGGUGGCUCACACCUGUAAUCCCAGCACUUUGGGAGGCUGAGGCGGGUGGAUCACCUGAGGUCGAGAGUUCCAGACCAGCCUGACCAACAUGAAGAAAUCCCGUCUCUACUAAAAAUACAAAAUUAGCCGGGCGUGAUGGCGCAUGCCUGUAAUCCCAGCUACUUGGAGGCUGAGGCAGGAGAAUUGCUUGAACCUGGGAAGCGGAGGUUGUGGUGAGCCGAGAUCAUGCCAUUGCACUCCAGCCUGGACAACAAGAGUGAAACUCCAUCUCAAAAAAAAAAAAAGAAAAGAAAAGAAAAGAAAGAAAACUCAGCUAGGAAUUAGAAACAUCAUUUGUCCUCUUGGCCUGUUCAGCUGGUGACUGUAGAUUUGAUGAAAAGGAAACUUGGGACUCCGGAGGACCAAGAUGGAGCGAGACGGUCAAUACUGAUGGACUUGCAGCUAGCACCAUGGCAGCCCUGCCUGGUCUAAGGAAGCUGGCAGGAGGCGAUGGUACCUGGCGGGGGCAGACUGCCCACCUCCCCACUCCUUCAGAGGACUGUUUCCUGCCCUUCACACCAUCAUCAUGUUGGGCCCUGCAUGUAUGUUCCUGCACUUGGAGCGAGCCCAGGGACACAGGGCAGACACUGGGCUCACAGAUGUUGCUGCAGCUGAGCCAGAAAACAUUCCAGGCAGGAAAAGCAGGUGCACACAUUCACACAGGCCUCUGGUCACUCGACCAGCCAGAAUGAGACGGACUCCUUGACCUGGGAAGUCAAGUCCCAGUGGGAAGGGCUGGAAAUCACACGUGGUCAACUUCUUGGCUCUCUCUGCUCCCCAAACCCUGGCCCUAGGCUUGCUUUAUCAUCACAUCCCAAGGCCAGAGGGCUGCUGCUGUCCCCAUCUUGGCCCUGCUAGAAGAGGGAUAGGGGUGGCUGGCAUGAUGGGUGAGGGGAACAUGAGAAUAUGCAGAGGCCUUGGAGGAAGAGGACUGGCAGUUAUGACAGGAAGGCUCUCUAUACCUGGCUCCCCAGUGUUCUGCCCCUGGCACUGAGCAUGAGGAGCCAGGCUUUGGGGAGACUUUGCAAUCACCCCCCCAACCUGGUCCAUUUUCCACAGGUAGCUUUCUUGAACUCACCUUGACCCCUCCUCAGCCAGCAGCCCCCACCUCCAGGGGCAAAGGAGCUGAAAGACAGUCCUGAACUGGGGGGAGCUGGGAUCACAUCAGCCAGGCCCUGUCCCUCACAGGAAGUGAGAUGAGGUGAUACCAUGGAUGGUGACUAAGGCCCCAAAGUCCCUGCCUCUCUGCCUCCCCAGAAACCUCACAGCCAGGCCAGCCCCCAGAGCAGAGCCUGUGUAAACAUGCCCAGGAGGGGAGGAGGGGUUGCUACAUAUGAGAAACAGUUAAAAAUAAAUUUAAAAAGC
rnacentral:lncRNA from 1 species